GAUGAACGCUAGCUACAGGCUUAACACAUGCAAGUCGCGGGGCAUCAUGGAGGUUGCUUGCAAUUUCUGAUGGCGACCGGCGCACGGGUGAGUAACGCGUAUCCAACCUUCCCAUUACUACGGCAUACCCCGUUGAAAGGCGGCCUAAUUCCGUAUGCAGUCCGAAGCAGUCAUCUAAUUUGGACGAAAGGUAUAUUCUAUCGGUAAUGGAUGGGGAUGCGUCCGAUUAGCCAGCCGGCGGGGUAACGGCCCACCGGGGCAUCGAUCGGUAGGGGUUCUGAGAGGAAGGUCCCCCACACUGGAACUGAGACACGGUCCAGACUCCUACGGGAGGCAGCAGUGAGGAAUAUUGGUCAAUGGGCGAAGCCUGAACCAGCCAAGUAGCGUGCAGGAUGACGGCCCUAUGGGUUGUAAACUGCUUUUAUGCGGGGAUAAAG
rnacentral:rRNA from 1 species